rnacentral:rRNA from 1 species
GACGAACGCUGGCGGCGCGCCUAACACAUGCAAGUCGAACGAGCGAGAGAGAGCUUGCUUUCUCGAGCGAGUGGCGAACGGGUGAGUAACGCGUGAGGAACCUGCCUCAAAGAGGGGGACAACAGUUGGAAACGACUGCUAAUACCGCAUAAGCCCACGGCUCGGCAUCGAGCAGAGGGAAAAGGAGCAAUCCGCUUUGAGAUGGCCUCGCGUCCGAUUAGCUAGUUGGUGAGGUAACGGCCCACCAAGGCGACGAUCGGUAGCCGGACUGAGAGGUUGAACGGCCACAUUGGGACUGAGACACGGCCCAGACUCCUACGGGAGGCAGCAGUGGGGAAUAUUGCACAAUGGGGGAAACCCUGAUGCAGCGACGCCGCGUGGAGGAAGAAGGUCUUCGGAUUGUAAACUCCUGUUGUUGGGGAAGAUAAUGACGGUACCCAACAAGGAAGUGACGGCUAACUACGUGCCAGCAGCCGCGGUAAAACGUAGGUCACAAGCGUUGUCCGGAAUUACUGGGUGUAAAGGGAGCGCAGGCGGGAAGACAAGUUGGAAGUGAAAUCUAUGGGCUCAACCCAUAAACUGCUUUCAAAACUGUUUUUCUUGAGUAGUGCAGAGGUAGGCGGAAUUCCCGGUGUAGCGGUGGAAUGCGUAGAGAUCGGGAGGAACACCAGUGGCGAAGGCGGCCUACUGGGCACCAACUGACGCUGAGGCUCGAAAGUGUGGGUAGCAAACAGGAUUAGAUACCCUGGUAGUCCACACCGUAAACGAUGAUUACUAGGUGUUGGAGGAUUGACCCCUUCAGUGCCGCAGUUAACACAAUAAGUAAUCCACCUGGGGAGUACGACCGCAAGGUUGAAACUCAAAGGAAUUGACGGGGGCCCGCACAAGCAGUGGAGUAUGUGGUUUAAUUCGACGCAACGCGAAGAACCUUACCAAGUCUUGACAUCCCUUGACAGGCAUAGAAAUAUGUUUUCUCUUCGGAGCAAGGAGACAGGUGGUGCAUGGUUGUCGUCAGCUCGUGUCGUGAGAUGUUGGGUUAAGUCCCGCAACGAGCGCAACCCUUAUGGUCAGUUACUACGCAAGAGGACUCUGGCCAGACUGCCGUUGACAAAACGGAGGAAGGUGGGGAUGACGUCAAAUCAUCAUGCCCUUUAUGACUUGGGCUACACACGUACUACAAUGGCGUUAAACAAAGAGAAGCAAGACCGCGAGGUGGAGCAAAACUCAGAAACAACGUCCCAGUUCGGACUGCAGGCUGCAACUCGCCUGCACGAAGUCGGAAUUGCUAGUAAUCGUGGAUCAGCAUGCCACGGUGAAUACGUUCCCGGGCCUUGCACA